GACGAACGCUGGCGGCGUGCCUAAUACAUGCAAGUAGAACGCUGAAGCUUGGUGCUUGCACCGAGCGGAUGAGUUGCGAACGGGUGAGUAACGCGUAGGUAACCUGCCUGGUAGCGGGGGAUAACUAUUGGAAACGAUAGCUAAUACCGCAUAAGAGUAGAUGUUGCAUGACAUUUGCUUAAAAGGUGCAAUUGCAUCACUACCAGAUGGACCUGCGUUGUAUUAGCUAGUUGGUGAGGUAACGGCUCACCAAGGCAACGAUACAUAGCCGACCUGAGAGGGUGAUCGGCCACACUGGGACUGAGACACGGCCCAGACUCCUACGGGAGGUAGCAGUAGGGAAUCUUCGGCAAUGGACGGAAGUCUGACCGAGCAACGCCGCGUGAGUGAAGAAGGUUUUCGGAUCGUAAAGCUCUGUUGUAAGAGAAGAACGAGUGUGAGAGUGGAAAGUUCACACUGUGACGGUAUCUUACCAGAAAGGGACGGCUAACUACGUG
rnacentral:rRNA from 1 species